AUGUGCAGUGCAGUGCACUCGAAUCCUAUGAGCAGUGCAUCGCACUUGGUUCAUCCACGACAGCGUGCGGUGUCCAUGUGCAUUUUUGCAGUUCAGUGGAUGGAUGUUUCAGUGUGUUAUGUUUAUUGUCGUGCCCGUGGGGAUGUAUGCAUGUUUGUAAAAUGGGUGUGCCCGUGGUCCAGCGUGCUGCUGGCCUCCACUAUACAGUACGACUGGGUGUGCCAUGCGGUUCGACAGUGCUCUUAUACACUUUGCUGA
rnacentral:rRNA from 1 species